UACGAAGGGGGCUAGCGUUGCUCGGAAUUACUGGGCGUAAAGCGCACGUAGGCGGAUUGUUAAGUCGGGGGUGAAAUCCUGGAGCUCAACUCCAGAACUGCCUUCGAUACUGGCGAUCUCGAGUCCGGGAGAGGUGAGUGGAACUCCGAGUGUAGAGGUGAAAUUCGUAGAUAUUCGGAAGAACACCAGUGGCGAAGGCGGCUCACUGGCCCGGUACUGACGCUGAGGUGCGAAAGCGUGGGGAGCAAACAGG
rnacentral:rRNA from 1 species